ensembl:lncRNA novel transcript
GAGAGACACACACGCACACGCACACGCACACACACACAGAAUGCCACCUCGUCAAUGACAAGCUGUUCCAAUCACACAGCUCGGACACCAAGCGGACCGGACAACGGACAGCCCAGGCCUCCUCCCUCUGACUGGGAGGAAGCCAACUGAGCACGUCUGGGGAAGUGAUCCCCCACCGCAAGCCCCCCACUCACCCUCCAUAUUUGAUCUGACAGCAGUGCUCUAUCCUGGCCGGUAGCCUUCCCUGCAACCAGCUCGCACAACUCUGACCAACUACCCUCGUGGCCUUCAGGUGAGGCACUGCUCUCUCUCCUGUCCCAAAGCACAAGGAAACCCCAAACCAAGCAGGAGACCACCGGCGCACCACUUCUCCAGAGGACCAGACAGAGUGAGCUGAAAACCAAGUACUCACUGUGGUGAAGUCUUGGUGGCCGCACUCCUGCCCUUUGAACUUGCAGUAGAGCAUCAUAUCCUUCAGGUCAUGGCCCACACGGUGCAGGAACUCCAGCAUGCUGAACUGCUUGGGUUUGUAGUGCUUGAAGUUGGCCUUCUGCCGCAGGGCCUCCAGCACGGAGGGGUCAGCCAGAUGGGGGUCCGGGAUCUGCAGGUUGACAUCCAGCAGGGCCAGCAGCUCCCCAGCAUGGUACAGGUCAUUGGUGGUGAGCCUGGAGAACCGGAAGCCAUUCAGGUUACAGAGGGUCACAGCUGGGAAGACCAGGCUUUGAGCCACCACUUCGUCCACCUUAGUGACAUGCUGGUAGGAGAAGUAGUAGGACACCCUCUCAGAGCUCUCCACCAGCAGCAGGCCCAGAGAGCCCACGAAGGCCACUGCCCACAGCACACGCCGGAUGGUCAGCGGCCCAUACACGAAGAUGUGGCGGAUGCCAUGGAGGGUGGAGGUGUUGGCAAAGAUCUGGAUGCUAGAAGGUUGCAGGCUGCCCUCACUGGGGCUUUCCUUGAGGUCCAUCGGGACCCCGUGCAGUUCCGCAACUGGCUUCAGGUUGAUCGAAUUUCAGAGAAGAGCUCCCAGUCCUCGGGCUCUGCUUAAACCUUGACGUUCAGGGGAGAGAACGCAAGGCAAGCAUCGCGCCAGAUGCUGUGAGUUUAUCCUGAGAGCCCAGCCGCACGCUGACAGGGCUCCAGGCCCUCUCCUACAGGAAGACUUCCUGGAUUAAUCUGCUAAUCUUCAGCUCAUCCACCUGUUUAAUAGGCAAAACCUACAGAACUAGUCCACACUGAGUGGACCUCUGGGGCUCCCAGCUGCCGAUUGACCUGAACCCCAGAGUGAACUCGUGUUGCUUUGUGGCUUCAGGAAACCUUGGAACAUCUCUGUGCUGUUUUUUCAUUUGUGCUCAAUCAUUCCUGAGGCCUCCUCCUCCUGCUGCAAUUUGACAAGACUUGACCAAAUCAUUAACUCCCAGUUAAUGGGAUAAAAUGAGUUUGAAUCUGGGAUUCUGGUCAUUAACCCCAUGUCACCAUCUGCUCCAGCAGUUUGAUGGCAGGGCUAGGUGAAUUCUAAUCACCCAACACUUGUUAAACUGCUGAUUCCUGCUUCCCCACCUCUGCUGACUCAGCAUCUCUGGGGUGGGGCCUGCAAAGGCUCUCUUCCUUGACGGGGUUAUUGAGGGCAGCUCUAGGAACCCACCCAGGACCAGACCUGAUGAGGAGUUCCUCCUAUGCAUCAGUCUACUUCUGUCCCUCUUUCCCCUGCGAAGGAAAAAUAGAAGAAAGAAGCCAUCUCUGUUUGCUUUCUCCCUGUCACUCAAUCUCUGGAGCCAACUGCUUCACAAAUAAAGAGAAGUGCACAGAGAGUCCCUGAAGCCCACCAUCAACAGACAGGCUUUCAACAAAACUGUAUCAGCACCGCCUUGGCCAUAGCUACACUCUACAGAAAAUGGGAGAGAGGAACAGCGCUAGAGAAGUUUGUCCUUGCCUGGUUCCCGGGUGGAACUUCCUCUCCCCCUUGUGUUCUAUGCGUGUGGUUACAGCUGCCUCUGAUCUUUGGUGACCAGCGGUUGGCAGUGGUGGUAUUUCAGCAUACCUUGAUCAUCGUGCUUAUUACACAGCCUCCUUUACCAUCAACCCUACCUACCUUCUUCUAGCCAUGCCCCCCACCUCCUCCCGUCUCUAUCCAUCUCUUCGCUCUUUUAAAAAAUACUUAAGUGUGUACAGAUCACAGUGACUUCAUUUGUGUGCCCAUUCACAUUUGAUGACUUCCAUAACCCCCAUACAAGUAGUUGUGUAUUCGUUUUAAUUCACUUUAUUUAUUUCCUAGCUCUUUCAUAAAAUAAAAUGAAAUAUAAGUAAUGAAAUGGGAAUAAAAAAGAGAAAAAUAGAAUUGAGGGGGAAAAGGAGAAAUGCAUCUAUGUUUGUGAUCACGUUCAUCUUUCUCCAUGCAUCAAUAUGCAUACUAUUAUGAAUUCAUUGCACGUAUUUUAACAUGUAGGCACUACAUGGGGAUGUGGUGUCUACAUACCACCUCUAUAGUGGUAGGCACUGCAAAGGGACAUACAAAAGGUAAAAAGCAUAGUCUCUACUCUCAUAGGACUUUUCAUCUCAUGGAUGUGGCACUCAUAAUGUCUUUUAUCUGUGUCCCACUUGAUGUGAAACUCUUUAGUAGGCAUGAUCCUAUUUGAUUUCCAUAAGCAGAAGAGGGGUCACUGUUUCCAUGUUAUGAGAGAGGAAACUGAGGUUCAGAGAGUGAAAGGACCCUGAUGAGAUAAUGGAACUGGGGCUCAAAUCCUGGUUUCCCGACUCAACAUUUCACAUUCUUUCUACUCUGUCAUUAUUCAUUAGUCAAGUUUCUCCACAGACAACUCACUGAGCCACAACAUAUGAAGCAGCAUGGUAAUGCCACUAGACUGGUCAUGAUCAGAAGAUGUGGCCCCAGGGAAGAGAAAGCAAGAGAGCUGGAGAUAGCAGAGAAAGCACCAAGGAAGGGCUUGGCCGUGCAGCUCUAGCAGGGAGGUCCUUCCUUUCAGCCCCCAAGUGUCCCUCUGUGUCUCAUCUAAAAAGCAAAAAAAGAGGAGAACUAGAGCUUAUGGUUGAAGGCGUGAGAAUGAGGUGUCUUUUCCCUCUAUCUCUGUAAUAUACAAGUAUAAAUACUAUAUAUACAUAUGUAUAUGUGUUCCUUUUUUCUGUGUCUGAUUAUGCAUGCAAUUUAGCAAGGAUUUAUUGCCUAAUUUUGGUCUGGGCACUUUGCUAACGCAAUGGGGGAGGAUACCAAGAAAUUAGGGACUCAGCCUCAUUGUCCCCAGAGACUCCUGGGGGUGGGCAAGGCACGGUGUCUGUGCAUACUGCUGGGGGAGCUCUGGAUUAGGGGACAUCAGGAGACAUGACAUUGAAAUGUCCUACUCAGUUCUCUGUACAGAUUGGAUUUCCGUGGAAGAAAGAAAAUCAACAUGUAUUGGGAGUCAACAUCUCAUUCAGUCCUGUGAGUUUAUUCUGCCUAUUUUUCAGACAAGGAGACUAAGGCUUCAAGACGGUAAGUAAAUUGCCCACAGUGUCACUGCUGGUGUGGGAAUGAGCUUCAGGGUCAUUGAGUCAUGCUGCUGCCCAGGUACCCUGUAAGGCCGUCAAGUGUUGUGGGUAAGGGUUUUGGUGCUGACGUUCAGGUGAUUGUGAGUUUAAAGCCUGGGCCCACCCACACCAGCAGUGUUAUUUGAAGCAUGCUAUUGAACGUGCCUAAACUUCCGUUUGCUCAUCGGUAACAUGGGAACAGUAACAGUGCCUACCUCAUAAGACUGAUGGGAGGAUGUGAUCAGCUAAAGUGUGUAAAGUACCAAUAAGUAUCUAAUAAAGUUCAGUAAC